CGAGACGUAGCGCAGCCUGGUUAGCGUACCUGCCUUGGGAGCAGGAUGUCACGUGUUCAAAUCACGUCGUCUCGA
rnacentral:tRNA from 1 species